GUCAUACUCCCUCCAUAUGAAAAUACUUGUCAUCAAAAUGGAUAAAAAAGAUAUAUCUAGAACUAAAAUACAUCUAGAUACAUUUUCUUUUAUCCAUUUUGAUGACAAGUAUUUUCGGACGGAGGGAGUAUAUG
rnacentral:pre_miRNA from 1 species